UCCUGUGGCACUGGGACGCCACAAUAUAUAUAUUGUAUCUUGACACUGUUCGCGUUCAAUCCUCGGUUAUUGUUAAAGAUUUGAGAGCUUAGGUUUUAGGAAAUGCUCAAUAUCUUGACUCCUCAGGUGUAGUUUUAGCUAAGCAAAGCAAAGGACCAUCUCUAAGGUGCUAGUCCAGGGGUGGGCAAACUGCACCCUCUGUCCCCUCUCAAUCUCCGCCUAUGACACUAUCUACCUAAUUAUUAGUGAUCAGUAAAUCAAUUUUGCCUAUCGUUCUGUCACAUUACUUCAAUGGAAACAUCAUUCCUACAGUGCCAAUGAGACAGCUGAAGCAACAUGUUCAGAAUGCCAGAUGCAUUACGGAGAGAGAGAGAGAGAGACAAUUUUUCAGACAUUGCCUGGAGCUUUGGAUUUGCUGGCUAUGCCUGUUUCCUUUCUUGAAACAACCAGUGACAUGAAGGAAUGUGUGAUAUCAGAUUGUCUGGAGCGACGGAAGAGAUGUCCUUAGUUUGACCUGAUGGAUCCAAGCACAAAGAAGAGGACAGGAUAUCGUCUUUCAAAUAUGGCCAAGGAAGAAGAUGAGCCGCAUUUGUCGUUGUUUUCCUUGGAUAAGUCGGAGUCUCGGCGAGUAGAAGUGACAGCAGCGCGCAAACGGCGAAAGAGUAGGCUGGCUAAAGUUGUGUGUGAUGCAGCUCCAUUACC